rnacentral:rRNA from 1 species
AUUCUUGGUCAUUUAGAGGAAGUAAAAGUCGUAACAAGGUUUCCGUAGGUGAACCUGCGGAAGGAUCAUUACAGAAAGUAAACGCGGAUCGAACCGCGAACUUCUAAACCUUUGACGAUUGACUCAUGUUGCCUCGGCGGGUUCUCCCGCCAGAGGAUACAUCAAAACUCCUGUUUUAACGGUGUUGUCUGAGCUACAAGCAACGAAUCAAAACUUUCAACAACGGAUCUCUUGGUUCUGGCAUUGAUGAAGAACGCAGCGAAAUGCGAUAAGUAGUGUGAAUUGCAGAAUUCAGUGAAUCAUCGAAUCUUUGAACGCACAUUGCGCCCCUUGGUAUCCCGAGGGGCAUGCCUGUUCGAGCGUCAUUUCACCACUCAAGCCUGGCUUGGUGUUGGGCGACGUCCCCUUUAGGGACGCGCCUCGAAACGCUCGGCGGCGUGGCACCGGCUUUAAGCGUAGCAGAAUCUUUCGCUUUAAAAGUCGGGGCCCCGUCUGCCGGAAGACCUACUCGCAAGGUUGACCUCGGAUCAGGCAGGGAUACCCGCUGAACUUAAGCAUAUCAAUAAGCGGAGGAAAGAAACCAAC